rnacentral:tRNA from 1 species
GCCGCUGCUGGAACAGGCCGAUCGAGUCGCGGUCACCGCCCGCGAGGUUGCGCAGGUGCGACUCCUGCAUCGCGGUG